GAUGAACGCUGGCGGCGUGCCUAAUACAUGCAAGUCGAGCGAACGGACGAGAAGCUUGCUUCUCUGAUGUUAGCGGCGGACGGGUGAGUAACACGUGGAUAACCUACCUAUAAGACUGGGAUAACUUCGGGAAACCGUAGCUAAUACCGGAUAAUAUUUUGAACCGCAUGGUUCAAAAGUGAAAGACGGUCUUGCUGUCACUUAUCGAUGGAUCCGCGCUGCAUUAGCUAGUUGGUAAGGUAACGGCUUACCAAGGCAACGAUGCAUAGCCGACCUGAGAGGGUGAUCGGCCACACUGGAACUGAGACACGGUCCAGACUCCUACGGGAGGCAGCAGUAGGGAAUCUUCCGCAAUGGGCGAAAGCCUUACGGAGCAACGCCGCGUGAGUGAUGAAGGUCUUCGGAUCGUAAAACUCUGUUAUUAGGGAAGAACAUAUGUGUAAGUAACUGUGCACAUCUUGACGGUACCUAAUCAGAAAGCCACGGCUAACUACGUG
rnacentral:rRNA from 1 species